AUUUUUAAUAGCCUAUAGAAAAUAUAUAGCAUAGGUAACUUCAAAGAAUCGAAAGUGAUGUAUGUUUAUCUAUACUGAGCUAAAAAAGUUUAGCAACAAAAAUAUGAAAUUUUAUUACAAAAUGAUAAUAAAAAAAUGGAAUUAUGACAUGUCAGAAGCAACAUGAAUGUUUAACACUCAUAUUCAUUAGGAUAUUUUUUGUAUAGAGCACGGGAGGGUCAAAAUGCGGAAAUGAGUAUAGUGUUAUUCAAAAUCAAUUCCUCUGCCAUGUUCUAAGUUCUAAGGAUUGGCAGGAACACCAGCAGCUACCCUUAGUCAAUGCACUACUCUUGUGGCCAGAAAAAACUUACCACAUGUUGACGAUUGUUGUUUUUGGUCUACAGCAUAUCGACCUAUCCUGUGUUGUUGCAAUUUGUUGAUUUCUGUUUGCUAGUCCCUAAACUUUUGACUUAUGCACUUAAAAUCGAGCCACGACGUCAGCAACACUCAUGCCGGCAUCAACCAUUCCAAGAGCCAUCUGACCGUCAUUUUCCGAGAGGCAUGGUUGAUGCUUCAUGCAAUUUUUUCAAACUUUUAUGUGUUUUUCUUACCAAUGGUGUGUUUCUGAACGUGUGUGCAAAAAAAAAAAAAAUUUUGUUUUAAAAGUACAGGUACAGAAAGUGAAACAUCAAUUACACGUGCAAAGCUGAAAUGGCACGAAAUCAAUCACCUGGCAAAAAGUACGACUGUUUAAAAUUUCAAGUAAAACUAAGGAUUAUAUCAAUGAUGUUUAAUAAAAAAAAAAAACAGAAACA
rnacentral:lncRNA from 1 species